UGGGUAUUGAUACCUGGUGGAAAUCAGUGACAGGAUGAAACUAAAGGACUGCAUGGUGGAACGACUCUAUUGCCAGCUUGUCUGGUACAUACUCAGUAUAUAUUAAGAGGAAAAACAGCAGGUGGGACGAAAAUGCGGUAGAAUAUCAUCAGAGAACACAAACAAGCAGGCUACUGUCCAUUUUCACUGACAGUAAGCAUCACCUUUGAAUACAGUACAGGUAUAUGCUGGCUUCUAGAAAAGGAUAAGUGUGCUAGGAUGCAAUUAUUGGCCACAUUGGUCUGAUGUAAUAUCACACCUUGAAAGUGAUGCACCCACCCCUUCCCUCCGAGGGACCAGUGUUCCACCACAGGCACUGCCCACAGAGAAGAGUCUGUCAGAGAUCCUUACGACAAGUGAAGGCAACUGCCAUCUUGUUGUCAAGUUUCCCCAAAACAUCCCAGCGUUUAUAACUGCGGUUGGUUUAAUUUCAACCAACAGUUAGCUGCAUGCCUUCCUGUCUGUCAAAGAGUCUCUGGUAGCCUUGAAGUGUAGCAGUCCCAGUAUUGCAGACAUACAGUGCAUUCGGAAAGUGGCCCAGCCAGAGCCUGGACUCGAACCCGAACGACAAUCUCUGGAGAGACCUGAAAAUAUCUGUGCAGCGACGCAGGUGUCAAGCUUGUAGCGUCAUAUUCAAGAAGACUCAAGGCUGUGAGGCGGUGAUUCAACAAAGUACUGAGUAAAGGGUCUGAAUACUUAUGGAAAUGUGAAUAUUGUAAAUAUUUCUGUUUAUUAUUUUAAAUAUAUUUGCAAACAUUUCUAAAAACAGUUUUUGCUUUGACAUUAUGGGGUAUUGUGUGUAUAAAACAAUUUAAUCCAUUUUAGAACAAGGUUGUAAGGCAACAUAAUGUGGAAAAAGUCAAGGGGUCUGAAUACUUUAGGAAUGCACCGUAACGGCCCAGAUGACAGGUUCUCAUGGGAUGAAUGUAUGAAGGACUACAAGCUUCAGAAUUUUGUCAGGUGCGGUCAAAAUCAAUCGUUACCAUCAUCAGCCUCAUCAAUCACCAUCAUCGUCCUGACCUUGCCAAGGCAGGGGGACUAAGAACAAAGUAACCUACAUAACAUAUCUUUUCAAUAGAAACUCUGCAGUAAAACAUCAGUAGUUUGUGUGCGUGUACUCACACACUUGCGUCACAUCAGUGAACAAAACACUACACGACCGUGGCUUUUUGAAUUACCUGACAUUAUGAUACAAUUUCCUGAUGGAAACUGAAUCACUUCUACGGUAUAGCAUCAAUAUCCCGACAUUUGCGGGGGAGAAAACGUCAGGUAAUUUUAAGCAGAACAUUGGUGUCAGCUUUCUAAAAAGUAAGAGGGAAAUAAAUAUCUGGCGGCUUUGACAUUUUCAGCGAGCAGGAAUCAAAGAGGUGAUAAAGAUAGUGUUUACUCCCAAAUAGCACCCUAUUCCCUUUAGAGUGCACUACUACCCCCCAUGAGGCUCUGGUCAGAAGUAGUGCACUUUAUAGAGUAUAGGGAAUAGGGUGCCAUCUGGGAUGCACAGUGUCUGUCAGCCAAACAAACAGAGGAGAGGAAAAGAGAGGAGAGAAAAUCACUGCCUGGCCAUUAACAGGGUGAGUGGCAUGAGAAAUCGCUCUGUGUGCGUCGCUGGCUGGGCGAUGUGUAUCCUGGAGCCUGUCUGGGCGAUGAGAUGUGCAUCUUGGCUGUCACCUGGGCACCCCUGCUGAGAAGGAUCUGACAGAGGAGAUAAGGAGAGCACAGGGGAGCAAUGUGGGUGUUUAUACAAAUGGUAGGCAUUCCUCACAUCCAAUUGUACAGAAGGUUGUGUAGGUUGGUGCUACGUAGGUCUGGAAAGCCUAUCUGCUUCAGCCCUGUGUACAUAUGGCAUCACAUUAAAGCCUGAAUUGCAUUAAAACAAAAACAUGUUCAAAUGUAUGGAGGAAGUCAUACGUCUCAUAAUAAUGGGGAAAGUCAAGACUUCAGUAAAAAUCCCAAGCCAGACUUCAAAUCAACUCACUUUUUAUUUGUCACAUUGAAAUGCUUACUUAUUGUAUCCCUUAACCAACAAUGCUUUAACAAGUUAAGAAGAAAAAUGUGUUAAGUAAAAAAAUUGAUAUGUAAAAAGAAAAAAUAAGAUAAAAGUAACAAAUAAUUAAACAGCAGCAGUAAAAUAACAAUAGCGAGGCUAUAUACCAGUACAGAGUCAAUGUGCGGGGGCACCGGUUAAUCGAGGUAAUAUGUACAUGUAGGUAGAGUUAAAGUGACCAUGCAUAGAUAAUGAACAGAGAGUAGCAGAAGUGUAAAAGAGGGGUCUGGGUAGCCCUUUGAUUAGCUAUUCAGGAGCCUUAUGGCUUGGGGGUAGAAGCUGUUGAGAAGCCUCUUGGACCUAGACUUGGCGCUUCGGUACUGCUUGCCGUGCGGUAGCAGAGAGAACAGUCUAUGACUAGGGUGGCUGGAGUCUUUGACCAUUUUUAGAGCCUUCCUCUGACACCGCCUUGGGACUUGGGAAAUAAGUGUGAUGAAUAGCAAAAGGAUGCAUUGCAGAGCCUACUUUUGCCUGAGUCAGAGCUGCAUUGUCAUUCAGCUGGGGUAUUAGUUAUAGCUUCAUAGAAAUAUUAAUUUGCUCCUCAUGAUUACUCACUCAAACCCAAUGCUUUGAGGGUUAUGAGGAAACAACACAAGGAAACCACAGUCAGUAUACCAAAUCACAACUAUUUCUCGGUUUUAGAAAUGUAGGCAAGAAGAGCUCUCCAAAACCUCGUCUCAGACAGAGAACGUCUCUUGCUCUGUCACUGUGGCUGCGGGUAAAGACCCAAACUCCCCAACUCUCAGAGAAAUAACAGGUACCACAAAGCGGAGCUAUAGGGGAGAGCGGGGGAAAUUGAGCCAAAAGGGUAUAAGUUGAGAAACCCGUGUUUCUAGGAAACCAUACACAAAAUUAAUAAAUUGACCAAAAAGGUCAUCCUUUCGUGGAGUCAAUGAAAGUAGAAACCACAUGGAAAAAGUGGUAAGCAAGUUAGGUCUAAAAAAGUCAAAUUAAUUUAUUGUGUUAGAGACUGCAGGUUCUGUUCUACCUGAUAAUUAAUUGCACAGGCCUGGUGUCUCAGAUCUAAAAUCAGUCCCUGAUUAGAGGGGAACAAUAAUAAUAAGCAGUGGAACUGGCUCCGAGGUCCAGAGUUGAGUUUGUUAGAGGUUUCAUGACACUUUUAUCUAAACCAAAGUAGAUCAUUCUAAGAGUGUUCUAUACAUCAGCUUCAAUAUGAGGUCCUAAACCUAGCAUGAAAGUGCAUCCUUGUAGCUGUGUGGGCUAAUAUAGUCAACAUGUUUGCCUUGGGGUAAAUUGAGCAAAAUUAAGUGUUUUCUUCCCAGGUGUAACGUAAGGCUGGGCCUGGCAUAUGUUAAAAGUUUGAAAAAUGAUUAGAAGACAAAAAGCAAUUGUUUUGAAUUGUGUUUGGGAAAUAGAGAGAGACAUGUUUUAGUAGUAAUAUUUCAUUCAGUACAUAAAUUUGAAGGUGGCUUAACUUACCCUGUCCCUCAGCUCAACUUACCACAUACCCAGGGUAAACUGUGCCAAGACACCACUUUUUUUGGACAAGCUAUAUUUACAUGAAUUCUGAUUAUUUCCAUGGAUACACAACAUCCUGAAAUAUAUGUAGAUAUCUUUGUUAGGGGCCUCCCGAGUGGUGCAGUGGUAUAAGACAUUGCAUCGCGGUGCUAACUGUGCCACUAGAGAUUCUGGGUUCGCGACCGGGAGACCCAUGGGGCAGCGCACAAUUGGCCCAGCAUCGUCCGGGUUGGGGAGGGUUUGGCCAGCAGGGAUGUCCUUGUCCCAUCGUGCACUAGCGACUCCUGUGGCGAAAACUAUAUUUCCCUUAACAGAGUGAUGAAUAUAUAUUUUUUUUUACAUUUAACCUUUAUUUAACUAGGCAAGUCAGUUAAGAACAAAUUCUUAUUUAGAAUGACAGCCUACCCUGGCCAAACCCGGACGACGCUGGGACAAUUGUGCGCCGCCCUAUGGGACUCCUAAUCACGGCUGGAUGUGAUACAGCCUGGAUUUGAACCAGGGACUGCGAUGCAGUGCCUUUGACUGCUGUGCCACCCAUUUAAUCCCACUCUCCCCUAGCAGCCAUACUGAAUAGCAAUGAAGGAAGCAAUGUGGUCGAAGGAACAUUACUUCCAGAUUCACAAGAGACAACCCACCCCUUCGGCUGUGAGAGAUUGAUUCCACCCUGCUACCUGCCUGGGACAUUUCCACACAAAUUGAAUAGUACUAGCAAACCAAGAAUGUGUCAGCCAGGCCCAGGAGUUAUGCUGCUAUAGGCUCACACCAUGCUAGAAAAUGAAAAUAAAUUGUGCAUUGCAUCUUGGGAAUGUUUACCUCAGGCUAUGGAGUAUGCUAUGGUGCAGCAAAUCAACAUUUGCAGCAUUCACACAGAGUGCCAUGGUUUCAAUAUGGUCAGUGCUAAUUGGGAUCCUUGGGAAGUCCCUACCCCUUAACCCUAACCUAGCACGGACCGUUUCAAUAUAAACACAAUUUGUUUAGAGCAGUUGCGCUUAAGAAGUGUUAUAAACUUCAGAAUUAGGAGAGUCCAUAAGUGAAAAUACAGCCUGGAUCCAGAUCUGUUUCUGCGGACUUGGCGUGACUAUGACUAUAGUAGUUGGCAAAACGGCAGAAACAAAUCAGGGACCAGGCUAGUCAAACUAGGGUUGCCCUAAAUGUAUUCAUAUCCUGAGCAAAUAGAGUCAAUUAUCAGUGCUGAUAGUACAAUGUGAAAUGUCAGGAAAAUAGUAGAGAAUGAUUUAUUUCAGCUUUUAUUUCUUUCAUCACAUUCCCAGUGGGUCAGAAGUUUACAUACACUCAAUUAGUAUUUGGUAGUAUUGCUUUCACAUUGUUUAACUUGGGUCAAACGUUCUGGGUAUCCUUCCACAAGCUUCCCACAAUAAGUUGGGUGAAUUUUGGCCCAUUCCUCCGGACAGAGCUGUUGUAACCGAGUCAGGUUUGUAGGCUUCCUUGCUCACACAUGUUUUCUAUAGGAUUGAGGUCAGGGCUUUGUGAUGGCCACUCCAAUACCUUGACUUUGUUGUCCUUAAGCCAUUUUGCCACAACUUUUGAAGUAUUCUUGAGGUCAUU
rnacentral:lncRNA from 13 species